rnacentral:rRNA from 1 species
UUCGGAUUGUAAACUUCUUUGAUUAGGGAAGAGGAAGGACGGUACCUAAAGAACAAGCCACGGCUAACUACGUGCCAGCAGCCGCGGUAAUACGUAGGUGGCAAGCGUUGUCCGGAAUUACUGGGUGUAAAGGGCGAGUAGGUGGAUCACUAAGUCAGAGGUGAAAACCCAUGGCUAAACUGUGGGAUAGCAACUGAAACUAGAGAUCUUGAGUACUGGAGAGGGAAGCGGAAUUCCUAGUGUAGCGGUGAAAUGCGUAGAUAUUAGGAGGAACACCAGUGGCGAAGGCGGCUUCCUGGACAGAGACUGACACUGAGGCGCGAAAGCGUGGGGAGCGAACAGGAUUAGAUACCCUGGUAGUCCACGCUGUAAACGAUGGAUACUAGGUGUAGGUGGUAAGAAACCAUCUGUGCCGGAGUAAACACAAUAAGUAUCCCACCUGGGGAGUACAGCCGCAAGGUUGAAACUCAAAGGAAUUGACGGGGGCCCGCACAAGCAGUGGAGUAUGUGGUUUAAUUCGAAGCAACGCGAAGAACCUUACCAGGGCUUGACAUCCCUUGAACUACCUAGAGAUAGGUAGGGCCUACGGGACAAGGAGACAGGUGGUGCAUGGUUGUCGUCAGCUCGUGUCGUGAGAUGUUGGGUUAAGUCCCGCAACGAGCGCAACCCUUAUAGCUAGUUGCCAGCAAUAAGAUGGGGACUCUAGCGAGACAGCCGUUGAGAAAACGGAGGAAGGAAAGGAUGACGUCAAAUCAUCAUGCCCCUUAUGCUCUGGGCUACACACGUACUACAAUGGCUACUACAGAGGGAAGCGAAGCCAGGAGGCGGAGCAAAUCUCAAAAAGGUAGUCCCAGUUCAGAUUGUAGGCUGAAACUCGCCUGCAUGAAGUAGGAAUUGCUAGUAAUUGCAGGUCAGAAUACUGCAGUGAUACGUUCCCGGGCCUUGUACACACCGCCCGUCACACCAUGAGAGUCUGCAACACCCGAAGUCAGUAGUUUAACCGAAAGGAGACACUGCCGAAGGU